rnacentral:rRNA from 1 species
UACGUAGGGUGCAAGCGUUGUCCGGAAUUAUUGGGCGUAAAGAGCUCGUAGGCGGUUUGUUGCGUCGGCUGUGAAAUCCCGAGGCUCAACCUCCAGCCUGCAGUGGGUACGGGCAAACUAGAGUGCGGUAGGGGAGAUUGGAAUUCCUGGUGUAGCGGUGGAAUGCGCAGAUAUCAGGAGGAACACCGAUGGCGAAGGCAGAUCUCUGGGCCGUAACUGACGCUGAGGAGCGAAAGCAUGGGGAGCGAACAGG